rnacentral:snoRNA from 1 species
GGUCGAUGAUGAGUUGGCAUGGAUUCUGAAUCUAAAAAGUUGAUUAUUACUACUUUAGCUCUAGAAUCACUCUGAGACCUG